GGUCCUGUAGUGUAGUGGUUAUCACAGUGGAUUUUGAUUCCAUUAACCCCGGUUCGAAUCCGGGCCGGACCU
rnacentral:tRNA from 3 species